UGCCUGGGAACAUGCCUUAGUGUGGGGGAUAACCAUUGGAAACGAUGGCUAAUACCGCAUAACGUCUACGGACCAAAGAGGGGGAUCUUCGGACCUCUCGCACUAAGAUUGGCCCAGGUGGGAUUAGCUAGUAGGUGGGGUAAUGGCUCACCUAGGCGACGAUCCCUAGCUGGUCUGAGAGGAUGAUCAGCCACACUGGAACUGAGACACGGUCCAGACUCCUACGGGAGGCAGCAGUGGGGAAUAUUGCACAAUGGGGGAAACCCUGAUGCAGCCAUGCCGCGUGUGUGAAGAAGGCCU
rnacentral:rRNA from 1 species